rnacentral:sRNA from 1 species
UUGAGGAGCUUGGAGACAGAAUUUCUCUAUCAACAGAAUAAGUAAAGCUUGAGGCAACAGCAGUACAAGGUUCUCCACACACUACUGCCCAUCUGCCUCAACCCUGACCUGGAGAAAGAAGCUCAAGGAGAAAUGUUCAGUCUUCAUGACUGUUCAGUCAUUGGUCUCA